rnacentral:rRNA from 1 species
GACGAACGCUGGCGGCGUGCCUAAAACAUGCAAGUCGAACGGAACUUCGGUUCAGUGGCGAACGGCGGAGUAAUACAUGAGCAACGUGCCCCCUAUGACUGGGAUAUACAGAGGAAACUCUGGGCAAUACCGGAUGUGGCUAUUCCUUGGCAUCUUGGAAUAACUAAACGGAUUUAUUCGCAUAGGGAGCGGCUCAUGACCCAUCAGGUAGUUGGUAGGGUAAUGGCCUACCAAGCCGACGACGGGUAGCGGGUCUGAGAGGAUGAUCCGCCCGAGUGGGACUGAGACACGGCCCACACACCUACGGGUGGCAGCAGUUGGGAAUCUUGCACAAUGGGGGAAACCCUGAUGCAGCGACGCCGCGUGGACGAUGAAGGGUUUAGGCCUGUAAAGUCCUUUUACCAGGAAAGACUUAGGACGGUACCUGGUGAAUAAGCUCCGGCUAACUACGUG